GACGAACGCUGGCGGCGUGCUUAACACAUGCAAGUCGAACGCUGAAGCUUGGUGCUUGCACUGGGUGGAUGAGUGGCGAACGGGUGAGUAAUACGUGAGUAACCUGCCCUUGACUCUGGGAUAAGCCUGGGAAACUGGGUCUAAUACUGGAUAUGACAUGCCACUGCAUGGUGGUGUGUGGAAAGGGUUUUACUGGUUUUGGAUGGGCUCACGGCCUAUCAGCUUGUUGGUGGGGUAAUGGCCUACCAAGGCGACGACGGGUAGCCGGCCUGAGAGGGUGACCGGCCACACUGGGACUGAGACACGGCCCAGACUCCUACGGGAGGCAGCAGUGGGGAAUAUUGCACAAUGGGCGGAAGCCUGAUGCAGCGACGCCGCGUGAGGGAUGACGGCCUUCGGGUUGUAAACCUCUUUCAGCACGGAAGAAGCGAGAGUGACGGUACGUGCAGAAGAAGCGCCGGCUAACUACGU
rnacentral:rRNA from 1 species